rnacentral:rRNA from 1 species
UAACACAUGCAAGUCGAACGAAGCAUAUCAGUGACAAGAAGCAGCUUGCUGCAGACAAGAACAGAUAUGACUUAGUGGCGGACGGGUGAGUAACGCGUGGGGAACCUGCCUCAUACAGGGGGAUAACAGUUAGAAAUGACUGCUAAUACCGCAUAAGCGCACAGUAUCGCAUGAUACAGUGUGAAAAGCUCCGGCAGUAUGAGAUGGACCCGCGUCUGAUUAGCCAGUUGGUGGGGUAAAGGCCUACCAAAGCGAUGAUCAGUAGCCGGCCUGAGAGGGCGACCGGCCACAUUGGGGCUGAGACACGGCCCAAACUCCUACGGGAGGCAGCAGUGGGGGAUAUUGCACAAUGGGGGAAACCCUGAUGCAGCGACGCCGCGUGAGUGAAGAAGUAUUUCGGUAUGUAAAGCUCUAUCAGCAGGGAAGAAAAUGACGGUACCUGACUAAGAAGCCCCGGCUAACUACGUGCCAGCAGCCGCGGUAAUACGUAGGGGGCGAGCGUUAUCCGGAUUUACUGGGUGUAAAGGGAGCGUAGAUGGCAUGGCAAGUCAGAUGUGAAAACCCGUGGCUCAACCACGGGACUGCAUUUGAAACUGUCAAGCUGGAGUGCAGGAGAGGUAAGUGGA